rnacentral:rRNA from 1 species
UACGUAGGGUGCAAGCGUUAAUCGGAUUUAUUGGGCGUAAAGCGUGCGCAGGCGGCUUUGCAAGACAGCUGUGAAAUCCCCGGGCUCAACCUGGGAACUGCAUUUGUGACUGCAAGGCUAGAGUACGGUAGAGGGGGAUGGAAUUCCGCGUGUAGCAGUGAAAUGCGUAGAUAUGCGGAGGAACACCGAUGGCGAAGGCAGUCCCCUGGACCUGUACUGACACUCAUGCACGAAAGCGUGGGGAGCAAACAGG